rnacentral:rRNA from 1 species
UACGGAGGGUGCGAGCGUUGUCCGGAAUCACUGGGCGUAAAGGGCGCGUAGGCGGCUUGGGAAGUCCGUGGUGAAAGCUCGAGGCUCAACUUCGAGUCGGCCAAGGGUACUCCUAAGCUCGAGUCGACUAGAGGCAGAUGGAAUUCCGGGUGUAGCGGUGGAAUGCGUAGAGAUCCGGAAGAACACCGGUGGCGAAGGCGGUCUGCUGGGGUCGAACUGACGCUGAGGCGCGACAGCGUGGGGAGCAAACAGG